AGGUGAAAAUAUAAAAUAAAUAUAUGUCAAUCCAGAGGUGAAAAUAUAAAAUAAAUAUAUGUCAAUCCAGAGGUGAAAAUAUAAAAUAAAUAUAUGUCAAUCCAGAGGUGAAAAUAUAAAAUAAAUAUAUGUCAAUCCAGAGGUGAAAAUAUAAAAUAAAUAUAUGUCAAUCCAGAGGUGAAAAUAUAAAAUAAAUAUAUGUCAAUCCAGAGGUGAAAAUAUAAAAUAAAUAUAUGUCAAUCCAGAGGUGAAAAUAUAAAAUAAAUAUAUGUCAAUCCAGAGGUGAAAAUAUAAAAUAAAUAUAUGUCAAUCCAGAGGUGAAAAUAUAAAAUAAAUAU